UGAAUUAGACAUGCAAACAUUUGGGAAAAUGUUCAUGAAGAAAAAGCAAAGAACAGGGAAGAGUGUGUCUCAGGUCAUGUUGAGAGUCCAGUACUUUUGGGAAGGGAGAAGGAAAGGGAGCUGAGCAGGAAAAGUCACAGAACGGAGCAAUUCUAAGCUGGAUUCUGCCAGAACCGUGGGGAGUGUUUGUGGAAGUCCUUGGUCUCCAGCAAUGGGCCUGAUUACUGGAUUCGCUGGGCUCUUGUAGGAGUCUGGAGCAGUCCCCAGCAGCUGUUGUUUCACGGCAUAUUUGGAAGCAUCUUUUCUUCAGUGGUGCCGACUUGUGAUGUGUCUGCCAGUCCAGAGACUCGGCAUUGCCGAGCUCCUGGUGCCAGGUGAGGAAAUCUUAUUUUUAGUUCUUGUCUUACACACUUAAAAAUGAGGCUUGAAGAGAUUAAAUAAAACCUUAAAAGGCAGGUAGAGAGUUGAAGUUUCUGAAGGAAGACAAGGGAGCAGGACCAAGACCACUCCAGGGAGGCCUUCUGAGCUUGUUGUACAUUUCCCAUCCACUCCUCAGACUGUUUUUCCCAGACAACAAAAAGUAUCAUCUGAAAUGUUACCAGAUUUUAAUGAGACUUCUGGUGCUGAAAGAAAACAAAACUUAAGUGAAGAUCAAGAGGAGAAACAGAAACCAAGAGUGAAUGAAGGGUUUAAACCAGUAUCUCAAGGACGAAUGAAGAAGUUAAGGAAACAGAAACAAAGGGAAGAACAAAGAGAACUCCGCAAACAAAAGUGGAAAGAAAAAUGCAAGGGAAAGAAAUUAGAAUGACAAUGUCAACUGGAAUCAAACCCAGAUGGAAAUGACAGAAAACGUGUUCAAAGACAAGUCAUCCAGAGCACACUCUGCCUUGUCAUUGACUGCCAUUUUGAUGAUUUGAUGGUCUUACAGGAUAUUAAGAAACUUCAUAGGCAGAUUCAGCGAUCUUAUGCAGAAAACCAAAGAGCAUUGCACCCCAGCAGAUUUUCUUGACAAGCCAUGGAGGCCAGCUGAAAAGGAACAUGGAUGACAAUGACAAAGGAUGGGUCAACUGGAAGGAUAUCCACAUCAAACCAGAGCUCUGUAGUGAACUCAUAAAAAAAGAAGACCUUGUGUAUCUUACAUCAGAUUCCCCUAACACACUGCAGGAAUUAGAUGAGUCAAGGGCCUAUGUGAUUGGAGGAUUGGCAGACCACAACCAUCACAAGGGAUUCACGUAGAAACAAGAUCGGAUUAUGGGAUUGAUCAUGCUCAGCUCCCCCACAGAAAUUCUGUGAAGAUGAACAGUCGGAAAGGUCUGACAGUUGAUCAUGUAUUUGAGAUUAUCCUGGAAUACCUGCAAACAAGAGACUGGCAAGAAGCAUUUUUUUACUAUCUUACCCCAGCGGAAAGGAGCUGUCUCCACAGACAAAGCCUGUGACAGUUCCUCCCAGGACCAGCAGGGUGCUGGGGCUGAAGGUGGACUGGACAGUGAGGCGGAAUGCUGCAGGAAUCAACCGGAUUCCCCACAUCCAGAGGACGCGCAGGAUGAGGAAAGCCACUGAGUCCACCUUUCACCUUCAACUUGGGUAUUGCAAAGAAAAUAUCAUAACUCUGGGAAGAAACGCGAUGUGCUGGACUCAACUUCAUCUCUUCUGGGCUGUGGAGCCCUAACCUGUGCCUCCUUUCUCAGACUCAUUUGAUGAAAGCCAUAAUUCCAAGAAGAGGUGAUGACAUCCUGCUUGAGAUACACAAAGGCCUUCAUCUGUCAGCACCAUGUGGAAAACCAAGAAACUCUAAUGAUGAGAAUGUAAAAUCAGGCUGCACAGAUACAUAACAACUAUUCCACCCAAGAUUAAACAGAGCAGAACAUAAGUUAGGGCUUUCAAAAGAUCAUUUGAUUACUUGCACAGACCAGAGCUUGGAGGAGGCCCUCACCCACCACCCACCUGCCAGGAAGAUCCCAACAGUUGUAGGUCUCAAACCACCAAUUCUGACCUGGUCCUGCACCUUGCUUCUCCUCAGCACAAGGGCACAGUGGUGAC
ensembl:lncRNA